rnacentral:misc_RNA from 1 species
ACUGGUCCCUCGGGUGCGUUGUGACCUCUGCGCUCCCCUCGCUCACGGAGGCGUGGCGUGACGUGGCCUGGUGGUGGUGGUGGUGUCGGGCAUGUGUGCAGGGCUGCCGAAGUCGCGCGAAGGCCACAUAUAUACACACACAAGCAUACAUACAAUGAAGCGUCCAUCAAACGGCCAAGCCGUGCUUGGCGACGAGAGGCCGGCGGCCUACGUGAAAGGGGAAGGGGUGAUCUCAGAGCUUGUAUCUCUCUCCUCUGCCCUCUCCGGCUGUCUGUUUGAACAGUGUAUUGGAUCAUGCAACCGGUGGGGUGUGUGUGCGUGUGUUCGUGUUGGCCACGGAUUCAAGCCAAAGUGUUCACCGGCAGAGAUGUGGGUGGGUCAGUGGCGUACGGCCCCCAGCGUUGCCUCAACCGCCUCCCACUGGCACGCGCCCCCGCGCAUGUCCAAGACCCCCCCUCUUGUCGUCCCUCUUUCUGGUUUCUGUCGCUGGACACGCACGCACCUGCUUCUCCUCUCUCCCCGCUUGACCUGCUCUUCCUUCCGCCACGUAUCGAGCGCUGCCUUGUCCAUUUCUUCAACGCGCGCACACACAAACAG